GACGAACGCUGGCGGCGUGCUUAACACAUGCAAGUCGAACGGAAAGGCCCUGCUUUUGUGGGGUGCUCGAGUGGCGAACGGGUGAGUAACACGUGAGUAACCUGCCCUUGACUUUGGGAUAACUUCAGGAAACUGGGGCUAAUACCGGAUAGGAGCUCCUGCUGCAUGGUGGGGGUUGGAAAGUUUCGGCGGUUGGGGAUGGACUCGCGGCUUAUCAGCUUGUUGGUGGGGUAGUGGCUUACCAAGGCUUUGACGGGUAGCCGGCCUGAGAGGGUGACCGGCCACAUUGGGACUGAGAUGCGGCCCAGACCCCUACGGGAGGCAGCAGUGGGGAAUAUUGCACAAUGGGCGGAAGCCUGAUGCAGCAACGCCGCGUGCGGGAUGACGGCCUUCGGGUUGUAAACCGCUUUCGCCUGUGACGAAGCGUGAGUGACGGUAAUGGGUAAAGAAGCACCGGCUAACUACGUG
rnacentral:rRNA from 1 species